GCGGGUGUGGCGGAACUGGCAGACGCGCACGGUUCAGGUCCGUGUGGGGGCGACUCCGUGGAGGUUCGAAUCCUCUCACCCGCACCA
rnacentral:tRNA from 2 species